ACGCGCCUACGGGGCGCAGCAGUGAGGAAUAUUGGUCAAUGGGCGGAAGCCUGAACCAGCCAAGUCGCGUGAGGGAAUAAGGCCCUACGGGUCGUAAACCUCUUUUGCCGGGGAGCAAGGGCCGGGACGAGUCCCGGUCCGGAGAGUACCCGGAGAAAAAGCAUCGGCUAACUCCGUGCCAGCAGCCGCGGUAAUACGGAGGAUGCGAGCGUUAUCCGGAUUUAUUGGGUUUAAAGGGUGCGUAGGCGGGCUUUUAAGUCAGCGGUAAAAAUUCGGGGCUCAACCCCGUCCGGCCGUUUAAACUG
rnacentral:rRNA from 1 species